rnacentral:rRNA from 1 species
UACAGAGGUCUCAAGCGUUUGUUCGGAUUCAUUGGGCGUAAAGGGUGUGUAGGUGGCGCGCUAAGUCGGGGUGUGAAAUUUCGGAGCUUAACUCCGAAACUGCAUUCGAUACUGGCGUGCUUGAGGACUGGAGAGGAGACUGGAAUUCAUGGUGUAGCAGUGAAAUGCGUAGAGAUCAUGAGGAACACCGGUGGCGAAGGCGGGUCUCUGGGCCGAUACUGACGCUGAGGAGCGAAAGCGUGGGGAGCGAACAGG